CCACACGAAGCUGGAAUCGCUAGUAAUCGCGAAUCAGAAUGUCGCGGUGAAUACGUUCCCGGGUCUUGUACACACCGCCCGUCACACCAUGGGAGUUUGUAACGCCCAAAGUCGGUGGCCUAACCUUUAUGGAGGGAGCCGCCUAAGGCGGGACAGAUGACUGGGGUGAAGUCGUAACAAGGUAUC
rnacentral:rRNA from 1 species